AAGACUAUACUUCCAGGGAGUGUGUCUAUAGUUCAUUACUAGAGAACUUUCUCUGAUCACGUAGAGCAUCUGAAACCGUGAGGAGGAGCCAGAGCAUCUUCUCCUGAGCCUGAAGCUGGUGCUAGGCGCUGCUUUUGCAACUGCCUCUCACCAUUGAUGACCAUCCUGCUCUUCCUUUGGAAGAGUGAGAGGAAGAAGAUACAAUCUGCGGGG
rnacentral:snoRNA from 1 species